rnacentral:lncRNA from 1 species
GUGAUAUUUGUUUAUUUUGUUUUCAAUAUAAGACUGAGGCUCCUAAGCUUUCGAAAGUACGAAGGUUUUUGUGCUAGUAAGUUAUUUUCGAUAAUAGAACAUCCAAUUCAACAAUCGGUUUCGUUAGAUAUAAUAUACGCUAUUAGAACUAUUUGAAAAAUAAAUUUCAUAAUUUUUUGACUUCAUUUGUCUAAUGAACGAGUAGUUUCAAAAUAAACGACUGAAAAUAAAAAUCUCACAAAAAAUAGUGAUAAAAUAUUUUAAUUUCGAAUUGAGAGUAUUGAUCUUACUCGUGAUGUUAUAUAAAAUUUUUUAUUAAAAUUUUAUAUAAUUUGAAUUGUUCUAUACUUUUGAACUUACGAACGUACCAUAUCAGUCAUUAAAAUAGUUAUUUUUGAAACAUUUUGAUCACUUAGUAAAUGAUGUCGAAAAAUUAUAAAAUUUAUUUUCUAAAUAGUUCUAAUAGCGUAGAUUAUCCUAAAUAAAAUCAAGUGUUGAAUCGAAUAUCCUAUCAUCGAAAAUAAUUUACAAAUAUAAAGAUCUCUGUAUUUUUGAAAGAAUAGGAGACAUACUCUAACAAGUAACAUCACAUGUGGGGAUCUCUGUUGGUUCUGGAUGGCUCGGAUUCAAUUUCGAAGUAAUUAGUGUACGAAAACUUUAAAUUUUAAAAAAUACGGAUAAUUAUCGUAAAAAGCACAGUGUUAUAUAUAUAUAUAGAGAGAGAGAGAGAGAGAGUUGAGCUAGAAUACUAUCGGUAGUAAACCAGUCAUUUUACUACCGAUUUGUUUUCGAUAAUAGAACUUCCAAAUUGACGAUCGGCUCCAUUGAACAUAAUCUAUACCACUUGAAGUGUUUAGAAAUCAAAUUUCAAAUCUUUUCGAUACCAUUUGUCUAAUGAUCAAAAGGUUUCAAAAUUUGUAAUUUUAAUGGUCGAUAAGAGCCGUUUUCUCGUUUAACGGCGUAAAGAUAUUCAAAUCAAUUGAAUUUUUGUUAGAAAAUUCUUUAAACUAUUUAAAACAAGAUCUAUACUCUUGAUCUUGAUUACAAGACUCCUAAUCAUCAUUUUUUAAAAAAUAUUUAUUUUCAGCCAUUCAUUUUUCUGUUCACUUGAUGGAUAAAAGAACAAUAUCGGAAGUUCGUGAAAUUUGAUUUCUAGGUAGUUUAAAUGGUUUAGAUCAUAUUUAAUGGAGCCGAUCGUCAAGUUGGAAGCUUUAUCAUAAAAAUUAAAUUGAUAGUAAAACAGUUCGUUUACUAUCGAUAACAUUCUAGCUCAACUAUAUAUAUAUAUAUAGAGAAAGAGAGAGAGUGAGGCUACUAUGCUAUCGGAAGCACGGAGCCUUCCGUGCUUCCAGCUCGUUUUCGAUGUUGCGAUUUUCGAAUCGUCGAUCGGCUCCGUUAAACUUGAUCUGAAUAUUUGAAGUACCUAGAAAAUAAAUUUUAUGAUUUUACGAUAUCAUUUGCCUAGUGAACGAAGGGGCUCAAAAUCAACGACUGAAAAUAAAAAUCUUACAAAAUAUAAUAAUAUGACAUUAAAAUUUUAAAUCAAAGAUAUUGAUCUUGUUUUAUAUAGUAUAAAGAAUUUUCUAUCAA